UUUGGGUAUUUCACCCUCUACUCCCAUGAUCUUGUGCAAAUAAAACCAAAACCAAAGAAUAACCGAAGAAAGCUUCUCUUUCUGAAUCGCUUCUCUCCCUCUCUCUUUCUCUCUCCCUCUCUCUGUUUCUCAGAAAACAACGGCGAUUUCACUACGUACGGCUCCAGCUCUCUCAACAAAUCCGGCGGUUGGGCUCCGACAAAGACGGUUUGGAUCCGGUAACAAAAUAACGGCGAUUUCACUCCGGCUCCAGCUCUCUCAACAAAUCCGGCGGUUGGGCUCCAACAAAGACGAUUUGGAUCCGAGAGAGGAGAAGUGGCAGUCUAGGUGUAUCAAAGAGGUAAUCAUUCAUAAAAAAAAAUUGAUUUAUUUUUUUGUAGUGUUUAUUUAUGUGCUUCAUUUUUUUUUUUUUUUUCCGUGGGUUUUGUAUGGAUUUUUGACAAUUUUUUGAGUGGAUUUUGUUUGAAACAGGUGUAUGAAAGAGGCAAAGAUUCAUAAAAAAAGUUGAUUUCUUUUUUGGUAGAGUUUAUUUAUGUGCUUCAUGAUUUUUUUUCGUGGGUUUUGUAUGGAUUUUUUUUUUGUUAGUUUGCCUGUGUUCUUCAGUUUUGGAAGAUGUGCUUAACAGAGAUUUGGUGCGGUUCAUGCACAGUAACGGUGAAAGAAAGAGAAGGUGAGGGUUUAAUUUCUGUUGUGCUCUCUGGGUUUCUUGAGUUUGGUGGGUUUUUGACAAUUCUUUCGGUGGGUUUUGUUUGAAACAGAGGUGUAUCAAAGAGAUCAGAGUAUGAAUUUUAUAGCUAAAUUUUCGAUUUGAUGGGUUUUGUUUAAUUUUUUUUCUUGGCUGCUUCUUCGAUUGUCCAGAGCAGAGAGGUAAGAUUGAAGAUACUUCAAAAUUCUCCUUGUGUUGAGACUCUGAAAUUUUUUGAGAUUUAUCUGUUCUCCGAUUAUGAGAAGGAUGAUAUAAUAUUGGAUCAUGUGCCUCCAUGUUUCUUGUCCCAUAUCAAGCGCAUUCAAGUCGGUAAUUGUGAUGGAGAUGAGAAUGAGCUUUUUGCGGUAAAGAUUUUGCUCAAGAAUGCAAUUGUCUUGGAAGAAAUAGUUAUAACUUGCUCAAAGGAUUGUGCAGGGAACUUAGUGAAGCAAAAAAAUUUCUACAAACAGUUGAUAGAACUCCCUAAAGGAUCACAAAAUUGUAAAAUCGUUUUGAAAUGAGCUUUUAUUGAGCUCUUACUCUAGAAAAAGCUAUUGAAUUAAUUCCUGUUUCUUGGAAGAUGUAAAAGUAUGGCUUGUUGGCCUUCUACCCUAUCUUGGCAACUUGCUAUUAUGGAAUGUUCGUUCGUGCUAUUUGGUGAUAAUUAGUUUUGAAUCCUCCAAGUUAUAAGCUUAUACUCAA